GCUGGGUUGACAGCGGCGGCGGGACCGGCCGAGCCUUCCCGGGGAUGUGUCCGCUGGUUUGGGGACGGUGAUCCCCGCUCGGGGACGCUGCUCCGUUAUUCUGCAUCUCCCGGGCGCGGGGCAGCGCGGCGGGGUCACCGGUGGGACCCUGGGGACCAUCUCGUCCCUUUGGGGACCACUGCGGGCAUCAGAGGGGCCCUGCAGCGCCCUGCUCUAAGUCCUUUUGUUGUCGGUGUUCUGUCAUUCUUUAAAUCACGGCGAGCAUUUUCCCCAGUGAAAUGUCGAUUUCAGUGCUGGCUUUGCGGGAAUCGCCUGUUCAGAAGUGCUGACAGAUGGAUCAGCAGAGCACCGGGGCCAGCUGUGGAUACACCUCUGUACACACCUUCCCUGUCAUCUCCCACGCCUUCCUGGACUCCAUGAUCUGAAAGGUCUUUUCCGAUCCAAAUGAUUCCGCGAUUCUCUGCCGUUACCGAUGCAGUAGAAUCCAGGCCCAGGCCAGCAGAGCAUCCAUGGGGGCAGUGGAGGGACACAGACAAUCCACGCUGGUCACACACGGUUUUCCUGCCAGCUGGUUGGUUUCAGUUGGUGUUAAUAGGUUUAGCUGCUGCCCUUUUGUUCAGAAUAAUUCAGAGCUUCCUUGUUAUCGAGGCCGUGGCUGGAAUAGCCCGUGUUUGCCCAUCUGGAAGCAGCAGAGACAAAAGCUGGUGUGACUGAAACUGCCGACGUCACAGGGCUGUGAGACCUAACGUAGGUACAAAAACCCAAAUCUCUGCACAAUCCAGGGCAAAAAAAAAAAAACCAAAACAACCCAACAAAAUGGAAAUCAGAGGGAUUAAAACAAACUUGCUUGCUAAUGGAAA